rnacentral:rRNA from 1 species
UACGUAGGUGGCAAGCGUUACUCGGAAUUAUUAGGCGUAAAGCGCUCGUAGGCGGUUCGAUAAGUCUUUUGUGAAAGCUCCCGGCUUAACUGGGAGAGGUCAAGAGAAACUGUCGAGCUAGAGUGUGGUAGAGGAUACUGGAAUUCCCGGUGUAGCGGUGAAAUGCGUAGAUAUCGGGAGGAAUACCUAUGGCGAAAGCAGGUAUCUGGGCCAUCACUGACGCUGAGGUGCGAAAGCUAGGGGAGCAAACAGG